rnacentral:lncRNA from 1 species
CUCAGCCAAUCGGAGCCGCCGGACUGGAGGGCGCAGCGGAGCACGUGACCGCGAAGGCACACCGGGCGCAGCGGGGCGACGUGGACAAAAGGAGGGGCGGACAUGGGCAGUGCGGGGCGCAUGCGCGGCCGUCAGGACUUCAAUUCCCGGUGUGCAUCGGGCGCGCCUGGCCGCCCCCAUGCAGAGGACUGGCUGCCGCGAAAGGAUCACGGGUGUGAUGUGCGGCCCGCAGGGCGGGUUAUCGCCUGGAAUCCUCUCGCUUAAGAAAGCAGCACGUGGUACCAAGGGAUCCCACACGAAACAACACCCUCCUUGCAGUGGAAGGGAAGAGCGUGCUUUAUUGUUUGAAUAAGUGUCUGAUCGAGUUACAAGCACCACGCGUCAUGUUCUGCAGCCUGCCUGGUGUGGCCAGGACCCCCUCAAGCACCCACAGCCCCACUGUGCCCACAGCAGGCCCAGCACCGCCCUUCUUUGAAGUGCUUCUCCCAUGUGAGAGCAAAAAGCUGUAAAAAUUACUGAGUUGUGUUUGUUUCUCUUGUCAGUGGCCUGGUGUAACUGUGUGGCCUGUGGGUUGUGUUCCUGCCACCUCUGCCCUCACAACGUGCUCCUUCUUUAUCCCGAGGCCUCACCAGAACAUAUAAGAAAACACACACAAAAGACACGAGAGCCCCUCACCAUGUUGAACUUCACUUAAUGUUUAGUACCAAGGACAUAACUACAGAGCUGUUACAAAAU